ACGCUCGACACCUACGGGAGGAGCAGUGGGGAAUAUUGCACAAUGGGGGGAAACCCUGAUGCAGCGACGCCGCGUGGAGGAAGAAGGUCUUCGGAUUGUAAACUCCUGUUGUUGGGGAAAAAGAGGAUGGUACCCAACAAGGAAGUGACGGCUAACUACGUGCCUGCAGCCGUGGUAAUCUGAGCGGGCUGGCAAGGC
rnacentral:rRNA from 1 species